rnacentral:other from 3 species
UACGAGCUACAUUGUACGUGAUGCAUAAUUUAAGUUUUAACCUUUAAGCUGUAAUAGGGAGUUUUAUUAUAAAGGCUGGAAUGACAAGCCUCUGUCUAUAUGACCUGGAGGACAAGCAGGAAAGCUUUUGCGAACACCCACUUGGAGAAGUGGUGGUUUAAAACUUUCUUAUAUGUAACGGCAAAAGUGGCUUAUAA